rnacentral:rRNA from 1 species
AUUGGGAUCUUUUCAUGGGGAGACCUAACAACCAAGAGCUGCANGAAGACGCCCUAUGGGUUUUAAANUGCUUAAAAAAGGGGGAAAAGUCCAAAAGGUAGUUUUUGUAGGUAACAAUAUGNAUAAGGACNGNCAAAUUCCGUGCCAGCACCCGCGUUAAUAACGGAAGUUCCGGGCGUUAUCCGGAUUUAUNGGGUUUAAAGGGAGCGCAGGCCGACUGGUAAGCGUGACGUGAAAUGUANCCGCUACAACGGCUGAACUGCGUCGCGAACUGUCAGUCUUGAGUGAGUUCGAUGUUGGCGGAAUUCGUGGUGUAGCGGUGAAAUGCUUAGAUAUCACGAAGAACUCCGAUUGCGAAGGCAGCCAACAAGGCCUUUACUGACGCUAAAGCUCGAAGGUGCGGGUAUCGAACAGGAUUAGAUACCCUGGUAGUCCGCACGGUAAACGAUGGAUGCCCGCUGUUUGCGAUAUAGUGUGAGCGGCCAAGAGAAAUCGUUAAGCAUCCCACCUGGGGAUACGCCGGCAACNNG